AUACGGAGGGGACAAGCGUUAUUCGGAAUCACUGGGCGUAAAGGUCGCGUAGGCGGGUUAUUAAGUCGGGUGUGAAAUCCAAUGGCUCAACCAUUGAACUGCAUUCGAAACUGAUAACCUAGAGUAUGGAAGGGGCAGGUGGAAUUAGUGGUGUAGGGGUAAAAUCCGUAGAUAUCACUAGGAAUACCGAAAGCGAAGGCGACCUGCUGGGACAUUACUGACGCUGAGGCGUGAAAGCGUGGGGAGCAAACAGGAUUAGAAACCCCGGUAGUCC
rnacentral:rRNA from 1 species